UCUGCCUGAUAGUGGGGGAUAACUUGCCGAAAGGUAAGCUAAUACCGCGUACGUCCUACGGGAGAAAGCAGGGGAUCUUCGGACCUUGCGCUAUCAGAUGAGCCCAGGCCGGAUUAGCUAGUUGGUGGGGUAAUGGCCCACCAAGGCGACGAUCCGUAGCUGGUCUGAGAGGAUGAUCAGCCACACCGGGACUGAGACACGGCCCGGACUCCUACGGGAGGCAGCAGUGGGGAAUAUUGGACAAUGGGGGGAACCCUGAUCCAGCCAUGCCGCGUGUGUGAAGAAGGUCUUCGGAUUGUAAAGCACUUUAAGUUGGGAGGAAGGGCUUUAGGUUAAUACCCUGAAGUUUUGACGUUACCAACAGAAUAAGCACCGGCUAACUUCGUGCCAGCAGCCGCGGUAAUACGAAGGGUGCAAGCGUUAAUCGGAAUUACUGGGCGUAAAGCGCGCGUAGGUGGUUUGUUAAGUUGGAAGUGAAAGCCCCGGGCUUAACCUGGGAAUGGCUUUCAAAACUGGCGAGCUAGAGUACGGUAGAGGGUAGUGGAAUUUCCUGUGUAGCGGUGAAAUGCGUAAAUAUAGGAAGGAACAUCAGUGGCGAAGGCGACUACCUG
rnacentral:rRNA from 1 species